UACGUAGGGUGCAAGCGUUAAUCGGAAUUAGCUGGGCGUAAAGCGCACGUAGGCGGAUUUGUAAGUCAGGGGUGAAAUCCCGGGGCUCAACCUCGGAACUGCCUUUGAUACUGCAAAUCUCGAGUCCGGAAGAGGUGAGUGGAAUUCCUAGUGUAGAGGUGAAAUUCGUAGAUAUUAGGAAGAACACCAGUGGCGAAGGCGGCUCACUGGUCCGGUACUGACGCUGAGGUGCGAAAGCGUGGGGAGCAAACAGG
rnacentral:rRNA from 1 species